rnacentral:rRNA from 1 species
CCUACGGGGGGCGGCAGUGGGGAAUCUUGCGCAAUGCGCGAAAGCGUGACGCAGCAACGCCGCGUGGGGGAAGACGGCUUUCGGGUUGUAAACCCCUUUCAGGAGGGACGAAGCCAGAGCGGUUAAUAGCCGACUCGGGUGACGGUACCUCCAGAAGAAGCCCCGGCUAACUACGUGCCAGCAGCCGCGGUAAUACGUAGGGGGCAAGCGUUGUCCGGAAUCAUUGGGCGUAAAGAGCGUGUAGGCGGUCCGAUAAGUCGGCUGUGAAAGUCCAGGGCUCAACCCUGGGAUGCCGGUCGAUACUGUCGGACUAGAGUCCGGAAGAGGCAAGUGGAAUUCCCGGUGUAGCGGUGAAAUGCGCAGAUAUCGGGAGGAACACCAAUGGCGAAGGCAGCUUGCUGGGACGGUACUGACGCUGAGACGCGAAAGCGUGGGGAGCAAACAGGAUUAGAUACCCUGGUAGUCCACGCCGUAAACGAUGGGCACUAGGUGUGGGAGGUGUCGACUCCUCCCGUGCCGGAGCUAACGCAUUAAGUGCCCCGCCUGGGGAGUACGGCCGCAAGGCUAAAACUCAAAGGAAUUGACGG